rnacentral:tRNA from 1 species
UCCCUAGUGGCUCAGUUGGUAAAGAAUUUGUCUGCAAUGCAGGAGACCCAGGUUCAAUCCCUGGUCAGGAAG